AUAUCAAUAAGCGGAGGAAAAGAAACCAACAAGGAUUGCCUCAGUAACGGCGAGUGAAGCGGCAACAGCUCAAAUUUGAAAUCUGGCUCUUUCAGAGUCCGAGUUGUAAUUUGCAGAGGAUGCUUCGGCUUUGGCGUCAUCCAAAGUUCCUUGGAACAGGAUGUCAUAGAGGGUGAGAGCCCCGUGUCCGGGUGGAUGCCUUUGCCAUGUGAAGCUCCUUCGACGAGUCGAGUUGUUUGGGAAUGCAGCUCAAAACGGGAGGUAAAUUUCUUCCAAAGCUAAAUACCGGCUGGAGACCGAUAGUGCACAAGUAGAGUGAUCGAAAGAUGAAAAGCACUUUGGAAAGAGAGUUAAACAGCGCGUGAAAUUGUUGAAAGGGAAGCGCUUGCUGCCAGACUCGCCCGUCGUUGCUCGGCGGGGCCUCGUGCCCCGUUUACUCUUCGGCGGGUGGGCCAGCAUCGACUCGGGCGGCCGGACAAAGGUCGUGGGAAUGUGGCUCCCCCGGGAGUGUUAUAGCCCGCGGCGCAAUGCGGCCUGCCUGGGUCGAGGACUGCGCAUCUGCUCGGAUGCUGGCGUAAUGGCCGCAAGCGG
rnacentral:rRNA from 1 species